rnacentral:rRNA from 1 species
AGUCGAGCGGACUUUUAAAGCUUGCUUUUGAAAGGUCAGCGGCGGACGGGUGAGUAACACGUGGGCAACCUGCCUGUAAGACUGGGAUAACUUCGGGAAACCGGAGCUAAUACCGGAUAAUAUAAGGAACCUCCUGGUUCUUUAUUGAAAGAUGGUUUCGGCUAUCACUUACAGAUGGGCCCGCGGCGCAUUAGCUAGUUGGUGAGGUAAUGGCUCACCAAGGCGACGAUGCGUAGCCGACCUGAGAGGGUGAUCGGCCACACUGGGACUGAGACACGGCCCAGACUCCUACGGGAGGCAGCAGUAGGGAAUCUUCCACAAUGGACGAAAGUCUGAUGGAGCAACGCCGCGUGAGCGAUGAAGGCCUUCGGGUCGUAAAGCUCUGUUGUUAGGGAAGAACAAGUGCGAGAGUAACUGCUCGCACCUUGACGGUACCUAACCAGAAAGCCACGGCUAACUACGUGCCAGCAGCCGCGGUAAUACGUAGGUGGCAAGCGUUGUCCGGAAUUAUUGGGCGUAAAGCGCGCGCAGGUGGUCCUUUAAGUCUGAUGUGAAAGCCCACGGCUCAACCGUGGAGGGUCAUUGGAAACUGGGGGACUUGAGUGC